CGGACGGGUGAGUAAUGUCUGGGAAACUGCCUGAUGGAGGGGGAUAACUACUGGAAACGGUAGCUAAUACCGCAUAAUGUCGCAAGACCAAAGAGGGGACCUUCGGGCCUCUUGCCAUCAGAUGUGCCCAGAUGGGAUUAGCUUGUUGGUGGGGUAACGGCUCACCAAGGCGACGACCCCUAGCUGGUCUGAGAGGAUGACCAGCCACACUGGAACUGAGACACGGUCCAG
rnacentral:rRNA from 1 species